rnacentral:rRNA from 1 species
AUUGAACGCUGGCGGCAUGCCUUACACAUGCAAGUCGAACGGCAGCACGGACUUCGGUCUGGUGGCGAGUGGCGAACGGGUGAGUAAUGUAUCGGAACGUACCUUUCAGUGGGGGAUAACGUAGCGAAAGUUACGCUAAUACCGCAUAUUCUGUGAGCAGGAAAGCAGGGGAUCGAAAGACCUUGCGCUGAUUGAGCGGCCGAUAUCAGAUUAGCUAGUUGGUGGGGUAAAGGCCUACCAAGGCGACGAUCUGUAGCGGGUCUGAGAGGAUGAUCCGCCACACUGGAACUGAGACACGGUCCAGACUCCUACGGGAGGCAGCAGUGGGGAAUUUUGGACAAUGGGGGCAACCCUGAUCCAGCCAUGCCGCGUGAGUGAAGAAGGCCUUCGGGUUGUAAAGCUCUUUUGGCCGGGAAGAAAUCGCAUAGGCUAAUACCCUGUGUGGAUGACGGUACCGGAAUAAGAAGCACCGGCUAACUACGUG